rnacentral:rRNA from 1 species
UACGUAGGGACCAAGCGUUGUUCGGAUUUACUGGGCGUAAAGGGCGCGUAGGCGGCAAUUCAAGUCAUCUGUGAAAUCUCCGGGCUUAACUCGGAACGGUCAGGUGAAACUGCUUUGCUAGAGUGCGGAAGGGGCAAUCGGAAUUCUCGGUGUAGCGGUGAAAUGCGUAGAGAUGUGGAGGAACACCGAUGGCGAAGGCAGCCCCCUGGGUCAACACUGACGCUCAUGCACGAAAGCGUGGGGAGCAAACAGG